UACGUAGGGUGCAAGCGUUAAUCGGAAUUACUGGGCGUAAAGCGUGCGCAGGCGGUUAUGCAAGACAGAUGUGAAAUCCCCGGGCUCAACCUGGGAACUGUAUUUGUGACUGCAUGGCUAGAGUGCGGCAGAGGGGGAUGGAAUUCCGCGUGUAGCAGUGAAAUGCGUAGAUAUGCGGAGGAACACCGAUGGCGAAGGCAAUCCCCUGGGCCUGCACUGACGCUCAUGCACGAAAGCGUGGGGAGCAAACAGG
rnacentral:rRNA from 1 species